rnacentral:rRNA from 1 species
GAUCCUGGCUCAGGAUGAACGCUAGCUACAGGCUUAACACAUGCAAGUCGAGGGUAGCAGGGUAGCAAUACCGCUGACGACCGGCGCACGGGUGAGUAACACGUAUCCAACCUUCCCAUAACUCAGGGAUAGCCUUUCGAAAGAAAGAUUAAUACCUGAUAGUACUUUUUCAAGGCAUCUUGAGAAAGUUAAAGAUUUAUUGGUUAUGGAUGGGGAUGCGUUCCAUUAGAUAGUUGGUGAGGUAACGGCUCACCAAGUCUUCGAUGGAUAGGGGUUCUGAGAGGAAGGUCCCCCACAUUGGUACUGAGACACGGACCAAACUCCUACGGGAGGCAGCAGUGAGGAAUAUUGGUCAAUGGGCGAGAGCCUGAACCAGCCAAGUAGCGUGAAGGAUGAAGGUCCUAUGGAUUGUAAACUUCUUUUAUAGUAGAAUAAAGUGAUCCACGUGUGGAUUUUUGUAUGUAUACUAUGAAUAAGGAUCGGCUAACUCCGUGCCAGCAGCCGC